UACGUAGGAGACGAGCGUUGUCCGGAAUUACUGGGCGUAAAGCGCGUGUAGGCGGAUGAGCAAGUCUGCUGUGAAAGCUCCUGGCUUAACCGGGAGUGGUCGGUGGAAACUGCUCGUCUGGAGGACGGUAGAGGUAGGUAGAAUUCCCGGUGUAGUGGUGAAAUGCGUAGAGAUCGGGAGGAAUACCUGUGGCGAAGGCGGCCUACUGGGCCGGACCUGACGCUGAGACGCGAAAGCGUGGGGAGCGAACAGG
rnacentral:rRNA from 1 species